rnacentral:tRNA from 1 species
GUGCCGUUAGCUCAACUGGAUAGAGCGUCUGGCUACGGACCAGAAGGCUAUGGGUUCAAGUCCUGUACGGCACGCCA